GGAGUGUCUAAAACAGCUACAGUGUACCCAUAUACAUUAAAAAAGUAAAUCUUUUAAAAAAAGAUUUUUCCCUUCCAGUUUUAUUAAGUUGGCAAAUAUUUAUAAAGUGCUUAUGAUGUGCUGGUCAGAUCGAGUGAAGAUUCCCACCUGUCUAAAAUCCAAAGCAAGGGUUUGGGGAUUUAGCUCAGUGGUAGAACUUGCUAGCAAGACCCUGGGUUCAGUCCUCAGCUCCGUGGUGGUAGUGGGGGCGGGGAGAUAAAAUAACUAAAGUCCAAAACAGAAUCAAAGGCCUGCCUCUGGCGAAUUAAGACCAGCCCUCUGGAGGCCUCAGAUUAGCAGCAGCCCCUUUACCUGGCAACCUCAGGUAAAGGCCCCUGGAGGCUGCCACAGAGCAGAAAAUAAAAGUGCCUGUUCUUCUAGCAGUAUCUCUCUUUCUGGAUCAACUUAAUGAGCAUAAGGACCAGAGCAGGAUUUGUUCUUGCAUCCAAAGUCCAUAGCACAGCCAGAGAAACUACAUUCUGACAGAGAAUUUAUCUAGAAACCCGCCCCUGGGUAAAGCACAUCUCAGGAGAUAUCCAUAUGGCUGCCGUUCUCUUCCCAGGGUAAAAGGAUGCACCAACCAAAGCAGGAUGAAAACAGUGAGUAAGAGGAGGAAUGGGUAUCUUUGUCCUGAGGGAAGCCAACGUCUCUGGAGUGAUCAUCUGCGAAGUUCUCCUACUGCAUCACAAGUGAGUGACAGGGGUGCCAAAAGCCCAGGGAUUGAAGUAGGUGGCAGUGCCAAAGUCUGUAUGAGCCCACAGCCUUUGUCGGGAGAACUGGCCACAGGCUUCUCAGCAUUGAAUUUGAACCAGCCAAUGGUAUCCCAAUGGCUGAAACAGGAAGCCAGAUAAACAGUGUGUUAUCAAGGGGGGAUCCAGCACUUCCCUUAAGCCGGCGCCAGCUGCGCUCUCCGACCGACCGUCCUAACAAAGUCCCAUUGAGUCACCAGCUGAUUUUCCUGUGUUCAGCUCUGGGGGACAAGGGACUCUCUUUGCUGGAUGGACAUUACUCUAGUGCACUGCCCGAGCCACUCACCACUCAGGUCCGCCCCAGUUCCUUCCUUCCCUUUUUGCCAUCAGCAGACUUGGCCCACUCUCUAUCCUAUGGCCAGUUCUGGUAGACUCUGAAGAUUAAAAGGGACCACAAAAGCCCAGGCACCGCGCUCGCACCCUCAGGAGGACCCGCCACCAUCACUUCCAGGAGAGGUCCUCCAGCCCAGGUCCUCUAACUACCUCAGUUGUUCCAGAGAAAGGUGCAGAUGGAUCGACGAAGAGUCCUAACCUGCUUCUGGAGCCGCCCAUCCAUUUCCGUCCACUUUGGGACCCUGCAAGGGUCAUGCUGUCUGAUCUGGAACCCUUGGGUGAGAGGUAACAGGAAGUCCGGGAAGUUAUCUAGCAAAUAGUAGAGGUUCAACUGAACCUUGCAGAGAAGUGGGAGGAAGAAGAGAGGAGAAAUUACAAGAUGGUACCCACAUCCUUGUGCAACUAUCUUCAAUCUUGAGAUGGGGCUGAGCUUAAGGCGCUUGCCUCCUGACUUGGGGCCUUCCAGACUGCAGCUGAGGCUGUGCGUGACACAGAACACCUGCCACCAGGGACUCAGGACCUGAGGAUCUUACCCUCUCCCAGCUUCAGCCAACAAUCAGGAAGACUGAUUUAUUUUCAAGGUGCUGGGGUUGGUGGUUGGGAGAGAAAGCAAAAUGCUCUCUCCCUGGUCUGGGAACAGUCAGGAUUAGAGCUCCAGGGUCUUGCCUGAGGCCCCACCUAGACACUCAGAGUCAUAGGAUAAGGGGAAGUAGGCAGUAGACAGGAUCUUUCUCAGGUAGCCAGGGAAAUGACUUUAAUAUGACUUUUGUCCGCGAAUGCACAUUGUCCUUUGGAGGGAUGAGACAGCUGCAGAAUUAAUACCUCCCACAAGCCCCUUGCUCUGUGUGUAAUGGCUAAAGGUGUGGGCUUUGAAGGCGCAGAGUUCAAGUCUGCUGCCCCCGGGUUUAACAAGUUCUUUUAUCUCUGGCUACCUCAGUUUCCUACAAGAACGGUAUGUCUUGUCUUCUAAUAGUUCUGAAAGGAUUAAAGGAGGUAGUGCAGGUGACGUGCUUGUGCCUGGCGUUAGUACAUCGUCAAUAAACAGAGUUUUAAGAGACUUCAUUUAACUUGACACUCGUCGGUUGGAAUUCUUGUACUUCUCAGAAUACCCCCAGCCUGCGUACGGGUGCCUUGUUUUAAGAAGAUGCCAUUUUGUAUGGGUGACACAGACCUGUACUCUCAGUACUCAGGAGGCUAAGGCAAAGGGAUCAUAAGUUUGAAGCCACCUUGGAUUACACUGACUCUCUUUCCCCGGUGCUCACUGACAAGGGCUGCUGAGGUUUCUUGGCCCUGCAGUCCCAAGGACAAAAGACAGAAGUCGUGCAAAUGGGCAUCAGAAACCCAACUGCCCACUGACAUUGAGAUCGUGCAUGGGGCCCUUGCGGCCACACUGGUAAUGUCAACAUGACUUCACUCCUUGGAUGCUUCUCAGAGUGGAAAGGAAGGCCAACACAAUACAUUUGGCUCUUAGAGCUGUCUGCAAGGAGCUUGGCAGGGGUAUGAAGAACGCGCGGCUUCAUUUUCUUCAGCAAGAAACAAACAUUGUUGGUGCUCUUGAGGUGGAGUCCAGGGACCUUCUGACUUCCUCCUCUGAAGCCAAUGGAAAAACACUGAGCUCGACUGCAGAGGACGUGGCUCCCUCCACGCCUGGCUGGUGCCACUUGCUGAAGUACAUCACCUCAGUUCGCUCAUCAGUCGAAGUGGGCAUCCACCCAGGGGACAUCAGCACGCACCACCAAGGCUGCGGUAUCCGCGAGAUCAUAGAAAGGGGUGUGGCUUAGGCAGUGCCACUCAAACACAAGCAGAAGAGUAGCAAUCACACAGGAAGUACGGGAUCCUACCCAGCCCCGCCCCAUCCCCACCAGGUCAUGCCCAGCUCCGGACCCUGCACUGGGUUCCCCGCAACCCUCCCAACCCCCUCACUUCACCGAUUGGGACCUCAGUGCUGCAAAGUAUAAUUUUGGGAGACAGAAGUCUGUCCAUGCAUAAGUCUGUGCUCUCUAGCUUGGUUCAUUAGCCAGCAAGGGGGCUUCCAGUACAGCCAGAAUGCUUUGCCCCCCUGCCCUGUCCUUGGCCAUGCUGACCCCAUGAUGUUGGCCCUGGGUCCUACUUUUAACGUUGAUUGCUAGAGUGAAGGAGGGCCCAGGAGGAACAGUCUGUAGGGAAAGCUGGCAGAGCAGUGAACGUUUUAUGAGAGCCAGCAAGUCACUGCCUUAUCGGGAAGAUGAGCUUCUCCCUCUUACCAGAAAGUAAGAUGUGUGGAGAGCCAGUGUUUUUCCAAAGAUGGCCUUUGAAGAGGAGUGUUCCUUUAAGGGCCAGGAAAAUAGAGGUGGGGCUGGUGGAGAGAAACUGGGCCCCUUUAAGAAACCUGGCUCUGGCAGACUUUGCAGUCCCAGAGGUAAUGAAAGUCUGUAUGCACUUGCUGGGUGACUAUAGCUAGUGCAAGCCUCAACCUAUACCAAGCCAUAUCUUAACAAGCCUAGAUAAUAAACAUCAGGGUUGGGUUUUUGUUUUUGUUUUUUGCCUUUUAUCAAAAGUCUUCAAGCUUCAUAUUAAUAAUGUCUUUGUGUGUA
rnacentral:sRNA from 1 species